UCAAGAGUCUUUCUCUCCUUAUCCCCCGAGCAUUUCGGUCCCUCGUGAUUCGACUUCUCUUUCUGUAGCUUAGUAUAGUAAGGUGAGCGCUGAAGCGCUGCACGAAUCUUUCUUAGAAAGAUUCAGCGACGAAGUUUUGCCCCUGCAGAGCCCGACUCCUAGCUAAAACCCCCUUGUAAGUUUCGUCGAAGGAAAAUAGAAUCGUUAGAAGCAAGCGCUGCCCGAUUUUGGAAUCAUCACCUUAACAAGUGAGUGCAUAGUUACUUUCAACUUACACAUAGAUAUGGAGUAUUUUAUAUAAAUUACGUGCUAUGUGUGCAUAUUAUCUGAAUACUUGCUAUCUAUGCUAGAUGAACGUUGUUAUACAUGUUUUCAAUGAUUUAAACUGUAUAUGUAUUUUAUAUCUACGGAAAUGUUGGGGUAAAACAUGGGUAGAUGCAAUAGGUGAUGUGUGAUAAAAUGAUGAGAGGCCUCAAUGUUGUUGUUGUUGAUCCAGUCAUCUAGCGGAGUAUAGAUGACGACCACGGACUCUUCUAGACAGUCCAGUGGAACGCUGACAGGCUCGCAACCUGUAGGUGUUGUGAACGAUAUGUUCACCGGUGUACUCCAUCCCCCACAUGGUUGCCUAUUAGGACAUUUAUUGCUGAGGAAUCCCCUUAGCAGUAGUGUCCGUCCCGAUGAUGAUCCUUAGGCUAGGUCCCUUAUGAUAGGUGUUUAGGGACGUAAAGUGAGGAUAACGGGAACGGGUAAUCGGGUUAUUGUUGAUUGAUGAAAUUAAUAAACUUAUUUAUUGUGGGUUGAAAACCCUAUGUGCUCACCAGGCUCCCAAGCCUGACCAACUCAGUUUUAUGUAUUACAGGUAGUGGCGCAUGAGCAUAGGUGUGAUGUUUUGGACGAGGGAUUACGGAUAUAGGCCUGUAGAUAUGAAAUAAUGUAGUAAGGCUUAUAUUGUACUGUUUAUGCUUUUGAUUUGUACGAACAUGACAUCCCGAGUCUUUUAAUGAAAUACAUUUCUAUGGAAAUGCUUUUGAUAAAUCUUUAUCAUAUUUUUGUUUUGGGACAAAUUCCGCAACCCUUUUAUUAAAAGAUAACUCUGAUUUUGAAAUAAAGUAUAAACAAAACCGGUCUUUUCUGACCGUGAUUUUGGGGAUGUCACAAAAUACACAAUUUAUCAUUCAUAAAUAAAUUGUUAAUAAGGGUUUGUGUUAGAAUAUUACAUGUUAUUGUUAUUGUUUGAUUAUGAAAAAAAAUGUAUUUCAUUUUAGUUGAUAUUAAAUUUAUCUAAAUUUAAAUUUAACAAUAUAUAUGAAAAGUAUAUAGAAGUCAUAAAAGUUUGUAUUUAAAUAAUAUGUAAAUAUAUGAUCAUAGUUUUUUUUAUCAAUAUAGAAACUAUUUAGGUAAUAAUAACUGUAGUGGUUUAAAAAUAAACAUACAUUUGUAAGUGGAAGUAAUAAUAUUUAUAGUGGUUGAAGUUUGUAGUGGUUGAAGUUUGAUGGAUUGAUGUAAUAUAUAAAUUAAUGUUAUUUUUAUUAUUUAAAUAGAAACUGUUUAAUUUUUUAAACUUUUUAAAAUUAAAUGAAUUCAUGAUAUGUCUGUAAUCUAAACAAAUAACAAUAAUUAGUUUAUUAAAUAAAAUGAUUAGCAAUAGAUAAUGUGAUUAAAUUUAAGGUAAAAUAACAUAUAAACUAACAUUAUGCUAAUAUUAGACAUGAAUUACAAUUUGUUGUACACAAGCUUGUAAGUGAGACCAUUUAUGUAAUAUGGUUACAUUUAAAUAUUUUUAUAUUAUUAAUCUAGUCUAAUACAGUGUUGCAGAAAUCGGCCUAAUCGGCCGAUUAAUCGUUAAUCAGACCUUCACCGAUGAGAUUUAUUGUUAAUCGGUCACUAUAAUCGGGUUUGGUCAAUGCAUGUCAAUGUCGGAAUUAAUCGGACCUAAUCAGACUUAAUUGGACUUAAUCAGACCUAAUCGGGUUUGGUCAAUGCAGGUCAAAGUCGGACCUAAUCGCCGAUUAAUCACUUAUUUUGGAGGAUUAAAGUUAGAUUUAUAAAUUUUUGAAUAAUUUUUGUAAUAAUUAAUGGUCCCCGAUUAAUCCCCGCCUAGCUGAUUAAUUCCUAAUCACUAGUCCACCGAUUAAUGAUUUCUGCAACCAUGGUCUAAUAUAAAAAAAUUAUCCUACAUUUAUAUACCCUCAUAUCUAAUUUUUUAAGUAUUUUUGUAAACGAUUAGAAUAUAUAAUAAUAACAUAAAAAGUUAUGAAAUUGUUUAUUAAAAUGUACAUAUAAAUUAAGAAUUAAUUUAUUCAUAUAUUAUUUUUUUUUAUAAAAAAAGUCAAUUAAUAAAUUUUUGCAUUUAAAAAAAUGUAAAAUCGAUAUUUGUUUAUAUCGUGUGUUGUAAGUAUAAUUAUAAAAAUAUUAAACUUAAUAAUUAAUAAAUUAUUACUUUUAAUGGAAAAUACACACUAUGAAUUGUAAAAGGUAUUUCGGCCUUACAACCUGGAGGGAAUCGAAGAAAUGAUGCAAAGAGGAGAAUGAACCCUAACUCUAAACAUGAGUUCAACACAAACAAAAAAAGCGAAGAGGAGGGAAUCACAUUUCAGAGUUAAAUACUACCUGGAGGAAAGUGAUAGCUUUUGCGAUUCAAUGAUUAAUCAGAAGAUAUGUUCAUGGAUGUUUGAAGGAUAGGUAUACUUACAUGUUUGAAGUCGAAUUGGAGUGAUUAAUCAGAAGAUAUGUUUAUGGGCGUUUGAAGACGAAACAUUUCAAGUUCUUUCUAACUCUCGGGCGUUUGAACCCGAUGGCUAUGGACCUAUACUUCAAAGGAUCGUGGGAAAACAAAGACGUGAUCGUACACAACUUUUUGUUUUUUAUGGCUUUGGGUCUUAGGAAAACUUUUAUUUCGAAUCUAUGUUUUUGGAAAUAAUGACUCUUUUGUAAACAAUGAUUUUAAAUGAUUGAUUUUGAAAAUUUUAAAUUUAUUUGAUUUUUGGAUUGUUAUAAAAACUAUAAAGUUGUUUUAAGAGUAAAAGACAAAUCUAACAUAAUCCUUUUAAUGUUUUUUCAAGAAAUAACAAAAAGGAUAAUACACUAUAAAUUUUGUUAUGAAAAUCGAAGUUUGGUUGGAUUGGGCUACGAUUUUCGUGUCCUGGUUUAUGAUUUUGCGAUUUUAUGAACUAUGCAGCAAAUAAAGGCGUGUAUAUCAAUAUUACAUAGGAUAUAUCAAUAACAAAAACAUUUUUAGUUUAGUGGGUAAUUUGCAUGCCUUAUUUGUUAAUUCACGAGAGUCAUGAGUUGAAGUCUCGUUCACCCUUUCUUGUAAUUUUUACGUAUUUCUAGAAAAUGGCAGUCCAAUAAAUUAUUUCUAAGUUCGUAAGCAUUUUAUCGCAACCUAAUAUAAGGAAAUCGCACCCCAGUCCGGUCCAAAUGCGAGUCUUGUGAUCUUUGCAUAGUUUAUGAAAAUCGUAGCCUAAUAAGUCAUUUGCGUUUGAUACGUUUGUUUUCCACGUGCCAAUGCGGUGGAAAAUCAACACGUGUUUAUACAAAUUGCGUUUGAUACGUUUGAUUUCCUUGCGUUAAAUAUGGUGAAACUUUUUAAUAGAGUACAACAUAUCAUGCAUAAUAAUGUUAUAUCCUUUUACAAAAUAUCAUGCACAACAAUGUUAUAUCCUCUAAAUCUAUGAAUGUAAUUUUCAAAAGAAUUGAUUUUAUUAUUAAAAUAUGUUUAAUGACGCAACUUGUUGUCCGUUUGCCUUAUCAUUCAUUGUAUUGUGAUUACUUAAUAAUUAAUAUUCAUUUUCAAUUAAGUCAUUAAUACUUUAUCACAACAGAAAAAUCAUAGUCCAAUAAACUAUUUCUCUGGCUAUUAACAUUUUUAACAUAGCCCAAUCUAGAACAACUUAGAUUUUCAUGACUAUUUAUCUAACUUCUUAAAAAAUUUAGUUAUUUUUUGGAAAACCACUAGGUAAUUAAGUUAAAUUUCUCUUAGACCAUCUCGAACCCAAAGUAUCCUAACUUUUUUUUUUUUUUUUUUUUUUUUUAAUUUAUAUUAAAUGUCUUUUAAUAUACAAAUGACAAACGAAAUAAACUUUAGAAGACUAGAGUCCUAGGCAUUAGGCUAACUUGUAUAGGGUACAAAGCCAUACGUGAGAUUCUAUGUGGCAUACUAACCCACCCGUGAAUACCACCCAUAAGGUUGGUGGUUGGCUAUGACAUCGUAUCGGAGACGGACGAAGACGAGAGAUUUGAUUGACUAACUUUUUUUUUGACAUUUUCUUCUUCUUUUGUGAUCGGCUAAGCAUCAUUUUUUUUUAUUAAAUCUCAUGUCAA